rnacentral:rRNA from 1 species
UACGUAGGGUGCGAGCGUUGUCCGGAAUUACUGGGCGUAAAGAGCUCGUAGGCGGUUUGUCGCGUCUGCUGUGAAAACCUAAGGCUCAACCUUGGGCUUGCAGUGGGUACGGGCAGACUAGAGUGCGGUAGGGGUGACUGGAAUUCCUGGUGUAGCGGUGGAAUGCGCAGAUAUCAGGAGGAACACCGAUGGCGAAAGGCAGGU